rnacentral:lncRNA from 1 species
AUUGUCAAGCAUUAAUGGGCAGGCUGGAAAAGAAGAAAUUGAUAAAUACAUUGUACUGUUAUGGGGGAGAAAGGGGGAUAGUCAUUUGGGGUGUAAUUAAUAUUUUUCGUUUAUCUUUUGAUAAAAUUGAUUUUGACAAGGGCGUGUGCGACGUUGAAAUGACACCAAAAGCUACACCAUGUUAUUUAUCAAAUGACAUAUUUACCUCAGUUUUUGUAGAAAUGGAAUUUGGCAAU